CCUACGGGCGGCAGCAGUGAGGAAUAUUGGUCAAUGGACGCAAGUCUGAACCAGCCAUGCCGCGUGCAGGAAGACGGCUCUAUGAGUUGUAAACUGCUUUUGUACGAGGGUAAACGCAGAUACGCGUAUCUUUCUGAACGUAUCGUACGAAUAAGGAUCGGCUAACUCCGUGCCAGCAGCCGCGGUAAUACGGAGGAUUCAAGCGUUAUCCGGAUUUAUUGGGUUUAAAGGGUGCGUAGGCGGUCGGAUAAGUUAGAUGUGAAAUCCCGAGGCUCAACUUCGGAAUUGCCUCUGAUACUGUUCGGCUAGAGAGUAGUUGCGGUAGGCGGAAUGUAUGGUGUAGCGGUGAAAUGCUUAGAGAUCAUACAGAACACCGAUUGCGAAGGCAGCUUACCAAGCUACGUCUGACGUUGAGGCACGAAAGCGUGGGGAGCAAACAGGAUUAGAUACCCUAGUAGUC
rnacentral:rRNA from 1 species